AGAGAGAGAAGACAGACACAAGCAGGUCUUGGAGCAGAGAAAAAAAAAAGAAAGUGGAGAAUUCUUUCUCGAUUCCUCGACUGCCUGGUCCAAGGAAUACUGAGGCCAAUCUCACAUCCAGGUCAGAGGCAGGCAGCCCCACCAGAGACCCAAUUGUUGGUGCUGAAUGGAAGGCGAAGCUGUCAGUGAAUGAGAAAGCAGAUUUGUUGCAGGUGGAAAAGAGCAGAUCCAUUGUGGGUGGAGCAGGCAGAUAAGGUCCUAGCCUGAAGUGGGUACCCUUUGGCAGGCCCUGCCAGGGUAUGCCGCUAAGCAAACAUGCCACACACAACAGAGUUAAUGUAAGAGGCUUCUUGGGAGGGGGAGAGCGGAAGAUUGAAACAGUGAAAGGCUGCAUCGGAGUGGGGACUUGAGAGAGGCAGGCAGACAAGAGGAAGAGAAGCAGGAGAGAGAAGAGGAGGCAAGAGAGGGAAUGAGAGGCAAGGAGAGGAGGAAGAGGCAAGAGACGAGGCAAAGAGAAAGAGCUCUGCCUGGCGGGCGCUUUUAAAGGGUGCACGUGCUGUGGAAAAGGGCCUGGAGACAGGUGAUGAUGUAACUGCUUUGGCAGAGGCUGAGUAGGGGAAAUGCAGCUUAACAGGGAGGCACAGCUGCAAGCUUUGUAGCCAGCAGGAGCUGAGUAGAGCAGGAAGGAAAAACAAAAGGGCUUGGGAAAAGCUUGAAAACAGGGUACCCCCUUCCAUCUAUCGGAUCGCAGGCAGAAGUUGCAAAGGUCCCGUGAAAUACUGGGAUAUGGGGCGCUGGUAAGCGGCCAUUUUGAUUGGCAUCUAAGGAGUAUGGGACCAAGUCUGACCGCAAAGGCGGCCUACUCUUGGUAUUACCACAUGAACAUAUAAACACCUAUGACGUCAUCUACGGCUGGACACCAGUGGAGGAAAGAAGCAGUUGAAUUCGCUGGGAAGAAUUUAUCGAAUGCCUGCUGUGAGAAAAGCAUGGGUCUGGGUCCUGGAUGUGGAUGGCCGGCUUGUGGUCCCUGUGAUUCUUAGUCAGGUAAGCAGAUAAUUUAAGCAUCGGUUGAUCUAGAGAAGGUAUGAGUCUCCUUGUGCACUCUCAUCACUCUUACAAAGAAGCAAUGACAGAUCCACGGCAUCCAAGCCUCCUUGAUGGAUGUACUUCCAGAGACCAAUGGGGAAGGAGAGGCAUGGGCAGGUGGAGGAAAAGCCAGCUGCUGCACCCCAGCCAUUGUAACACGAGUCUUAAAAGGUCUUAUUAAAAAACUCAGUGCCAGUUAUUGGGAUGAAUGCUGGAAGAUCAGAGAAGCAGAAAAAGCCACAGCAAACCUCACCUCGCCAAGUUCUCAGCUGAUCUUGUUUCCUCAGACUGGAAGCCUCUGAGUCCUCAUCUGAAUGGAUCUCAGCUGAACUGUGCUGCUCAAAAGCCUAAAAGCUUAACCAGGCUAUAGUUUCUCAUCCUCAUGCCUUAUAUACCUUUCUGUUUCCUGCCAUCACUUCCUGGGAUUAAAGGCACGUGUCACCCAUGUCUGGCUGUUUCCAGUGUGACUUUGAACUUACAGAGAUCCAGAUGGAUCUCUGCCUCCAGAAUGCUAGGAUUAAAGGAAAGCAGUUGCCUCACAAGGAUGUAGAAGCUCUGGAACAACACAGGGGUUGAAUAGGCUUUAGUGCUCAGCCCAGGAGACUUCCCAUGUGCAAGACAGUAGCCACUAAAGAAGAAAAACUGGUAACUCUGAUGUCUACAAAAUGAUGGGCACAUGGUGGGUUUUCAGGAGGUAUUACUGAAUGGGGGACCUCUGCUUAUACUCUUGUUUCCCUGAGACAGUGGACUUUGAACUAUCAACAUUUAUAAUACACUUUGUUCAAAGGUUGUAGACUUUCUGUAUUUGCCUGUAAGAGACAACCCUAAGAGUAGGGUUUUUUUUUUUAAAUCACUUAAAACAUCUCUCAAAUAUUUCAUCAAAAUGGUUCUAUUUGAGACAAUGUUUCUGUCUUCAGAAAAAGAGUGUGCCCUCUACCAGUAUGUUAGAAGGUGUCAUGGGCUCCAAAAUGACAGCCCGAGUUACCUGGGUGACUGAAGUUACCUGAGCGAUGACUCACCUAGCUGGAUGGAUUGAGGCCUGUGAGGAUACAGCUAUUUCUCUCCAGAAGGUCAAGACAAGAACAGAACCUCUGUCACCUGGAUCUUAUCCUCUAAAUCCUUUUCAUACUCGAUGUUGCUAUUCUGCGAGCUAUUUCUUUCCCUGGAAAAAUAUGAGAUGCUAAUAGAGGUCUAACUCCACAUGAAUGGGCAAGCUCUUUCCCUGUCAUCAAUACCUAGCAAAUAAUGUCCAUCCUGUUUCCUAUAAACUAUAGCACCGGAUCAGGCUCCCACUCAUUCAAGGGCCACAUAAAGGAGAUUAAAUGUGGGGUGUUUAUUAAUGUCUUAGUCCAUUUUCUGUCACUCUAACAAAAUACUUGAGACUAGGAAAAUACACAAGUAAUUGAAUUCUGGAUGCAAGGAGGGCCAGCAGCCUGGUGCUGUCACCUGCUAGUAUCUGAUAAAAGAAAGCCCUAUUGUGCUUCAUGAGCUGGUGUAGGGUAUCCUGUGGAGAGACAGAGCAAGCUUGGGUCCUUGUGUCUUUUCUUGCAAAUCCUCUGGUGUCAUCAUUGGGGCCUCACUUUUGUAAAAUUCUACACUUCCAAAUACCAUCAACAUAUUCGGGAGACUAUGUUCCAACAUGUAAAUUUGGGGUGCACAUUCAAAUCACAGCACUUAGUAUUUGGGGGACUGGUGUCUGUGAAAAGGAAGAGAAGGACUCAGGAUUAAGUGAGGGAGGCUCAGCUGAGAAGAGAGGAAGCCUUGGGGCUGACUCAGCGUGGUAUGUACACCUCAGUGUGUAUCAGUCUCUGGAUGUGGGAAUCCCAGGAAGAAGUGGGGGUCUGAGUACUAAGGCUCCCUUUGACCUUCAGAGGGGACGGGCACCGUCUAUGGGCACCAGAGUUUGUUAGCAGGAAGGCUUUGUUCCUGAGGGUGAGUCUAUGUGGUCAUCUUCCCAGGACUCCUGUCUCCAUCGGAGCUGGUGAUUAUUAGUUCAAAAUGUUCUACAUUAACCUCGUACGCCUCAGAGAGCAUAGGCUGAGUCCACAUCAGAAGCCGCUACCAACCAAGCAGGUUCCUCUCUGAAAACAACCCCAGACAGAUAAUAGCAGUCUUUAUGAAGGCAGUCCUGAUGCGUGCCAGUGCUGUUUACUUGGGUAGGAAUUAGAAGUUAGAAAUGAAAAAAGAAGCCUAGAUAUUUUUAAAAACACAGCAACACCAGAAUGUGGAUAUUACUAUUAUUAGUUCCUUAUCUUGAAUAUUUUCACACAUUUAUAUAUUAUAUGUCAGUUUUUAAAAUUUUUAAGUAGUACAUGAUAUAAAGAACAAAGUUGUAACUGGGCAGUAGUGGCACACACCUUUAAUCCUAGCACUUAGGAGACAGAGGCAGGUGGAUCUCUAAAUCAGAGCUAGUUCCAGGACAGCCAGGGCUACACAGAGAAACUCUGUCUUGAAAAAGAGAAAGGAAAAAUGUUGUUCUUGCCUCUGAGAGAGUCCCAGUCUAGAGGCAGCCCAUGAGCUCAUUCUCUCCGGGUCCAGUCACACAUGCGGAGUAAGCAGGGCCCUGAGUUCCCUGCUUCAUGUCUCAGAGGCAGUCAUCUUCCCCCUAAGGCGCUGCUUGAGGAGACUGUCACCCAGAGGCUUGCUCAGAAUAAACACAGUGUCUGGGUGUUGUUUCCCCCCAGUUCAAGCCCUUCUUUGUGUCCCUCUGCUUGGCUAUCAGGAACCUCCUGUCCUUUUCAUUGUGAGCACUUUGCAUAAGCCUUCUGUAGAUCUGUGGGCCUCCGACAGGGAUGCUGUUUUCUUGCUUACAUCUAUUUGAAUGGCAGCUACUCCUUUUCAUGCAUGCCCUGAAUCAGGGAUUGCCCUCAAUCUCUUCCCUGUGCCUGGACACAGCUCCAUUUCUCCAGUGAGAAAAUGUAAGGAUUCUGUCCUUAAUUGCAUCACCAGCCUGCCACGGUGGUGUCCCAGCCUGAAAAGCAGGUGUGCCCUCUGUGCAUUCUCAUUUUCGCAUUCUCUCCUGUACUCCCCCCUCCACGUGGUCCUUUCUUUCUUCCCUUCCUUCCUUCCUUCCUUCCUUCCUUCCUUCCUUCCUUCCUUCCUUCCUUCCUCUCUCUCUCUCUCUCUCUCUCUCUCUCUCUCUCUCUCUCCCCCUCUCUCUCCCUUUCUCCCUCUCUCUCCCAAUAAAGCUCUAGAAAGGUAACCAUGGCUCGUGAUUUUUCCACCAACCAGCACUCUCCUCCGUUGGCAUGGCUGCCGCGGGGUGCGGCCAGUCACGAGGCUGCUUAACCAACAGAAAAUCCUCUUUGUUUUGAGUCAUGUUGCCGACCUAAUUGAUCCUAUCCACUAAAAGGCUGUUGCUGUCUACUGAUCCUCUGAUCACUCUCAUAGUGGAAAGCCUUAGGGAUUUGGUUCAUGGUCUCUGUCUCUAGGUCAACGUCUGUGACAUUUAAGGCCAACUGGGCAUCCAUGUAGACAACCCAAACGUGUCCCUGAUGCUUCUUUACCUCAGAGCCAACAGCAUUUGUUUCUACUUCAUUUUAGCACCCCAGUCCCUUCACAGCUCUGAGUUGCUCAUCUUUACACAAGUGUGACAGAACACGUGACAUUAAGUAUUUAUAAAUACAUAUGUGUGUAUAUAUAUAUUACUCAAGAAAAACAAUUUGGAAGAAAGAGUUGCUUUGGCCCCUGGCUCCAGUCCACAGUUCUGUCUGGUUGCUGAGGCUCUCUCUUGGUAGGCAGAGUUCUAUGACCAUAGUGUGUUUCUGAGGAAAACUAACCACUUCCUGGAGGCCAGAAGGCAGAGGUGGGGAAUUGCAAAGAGACCCAUUGAAGACACAUCCCAGGGGAUCGCAAAGAGACCCAUUGAAGACGCAUCCUCGAUGAUGCACUUCCUCCAAUUAGGCCCCAUCUCCCAAAGUUCUUAGCACCUCACAAUAACCCAUUAAGGAACAAAUCCAUAGAUAGGUUGAUAUGUUCAUAAGGCCAAAGCCACCAUGAUCCAAUGACUGCUUAAGGGCUCCACUGCAGAACCUUGAUGCUUUGGAGACCAAACAGACCUUGGAAGCAUGAACUUCUGGGGGAUAUUUAAGAUCCAAACCCCUGAGCUCCAAAUAAAUUUACUUCUGAAAAACCACAGCCACAGGACCUAUAUUUUGGACAAGUACCCUAAGAAACAGACUUUUAAAUACAGGAAGUAUAUAUGGACAUUAAUCCUGCUAGGAGUGGGUGGAGUGUUGAGACAACCAAGGGAGGUAAGCUACUGAAUGGUAGAAUGCCAACCAAGUUCUCAUUGUGGACAACUGGAAUUCAUCCUGAGAGACAGAGAGCUGGGGAACUCUGGGAGACAGGAGAGAACAUCCCCGAGUUAGCUCACCAUGGGGAGGAGGGGAUGCUGGGGUAGCUAUCCAUCUGCACCCGUUAAAACUGCUUCUCUGGGCAUUACCGCCCAGUCCUGACCUGCAAAAGAACUGUCCAGAGCAGAUGACAGCUUGGCCAGAGGAAAGUAUGAAGUAGGAGCUGCUGCAGAGGUGUGGGUACCCCCGCCUCUCUUGCUUUACCUUUCUUUCAGCUUUCUCAACCCUCUGCCUUCUCUUCCCAGGCAGCUCAUUGUCACUGAGGCCUCUGGUCACUUGAGUCAUCCAUUUUCAGUAACCAUGGGACUCUUGGAGACCAAAUUCAUACCAUGUGGAGCCUGGAUCCCAAAGACAAUGGGAACAUUUUCCCUUGAGCUGCUUAACUCCGUUGUGAUGUUUUUGUUUUGUUUUGUUUUCUUCUUCUUUUUUAAACCACAACUGAGGAUUUCCCAGCUCAACUCAGACUAUCAUGGCGAGAAAUAAUUGCCUUUCCAGGCAAACUGGUGCCACUACAAAUUGAUGGCAAUCCGCCUCCGUUGUUUACUUGCUUUUCCUCCUUGUUCACCAGCUGCCCCUUUAACAACUUUAACCUUCCCUCCUCUCUCCAGAGCCCUCCUUGACUUUUCUUCCUUUCCUCUGCAGUAGCCCACACUCAGCCACAUGGCUGGAGGGGGGAGUUCCUGUGUUUACUCUGUGUCUCCUUCCUCCUCCUUCCUCAGCCCUCCCCUUGCUGGACCUCCACGCCAGCGUAUCCCGACUGUUAUCUUUCUUCCCAGCGUUUUCCUUGCACAUUCUUCUUUCUAGCAAAUACCACCCCCUGCACUGUGUUUCACAAAAAUAUCUUUUUCCCCCCUUACUUUUCUGCUAUUUUUAGUCCCACAUUUACUCCUGAAUGUCUCAUGGACACACUAAAAUGAAUAUAUUCAGAUGUAAAGAGAUGUUCUUCAUUCCAACUCUGGUUCAUUUCCGGUGUGCUUCCUCCCUAUAAUCCAUCCGACCUGGUGCAGAUCCAAAAAAUCUCAGAGCCAGACUCCAUAUUCCUUACACUUAUCAGAUGCUACCUUUUGAGUGUCGGGGCUCAUGAAUCCCUCCCUUCCUGCUCCGUGCUAGCCCAUUAACUGGCUUGAGCUGGCAGGGUUUAGGCAGGUAACCACAGCUGUUGUGACUUCGUGAGGGCAGUGGUCCUCUCAUUUCUAGAAGAUAUCAUUUUGCUCUGGUCCUUCUCUACCUCUGGCUCUUACAGUCUUUUUGGUUCCCUGUUCCACAAUGGUCCCUGAGCUUUGUAGGGGAGGGGUGUGAUGUGAUGUACUAUUUAUGGUUAUGCAUUCUACAUGUACUUAUUUAUUAUACAUCUGCAGUUGUGAGUUUCUGUGUUAGUCACCAUCCGCUGCAUAAAGGAACUUCUCUGGUGGAUCCUCUACUCCUCCCUGGCCAGCAGGAGAAAAGAAAGGGAAGUCUACAUAUGUGGUCCUUGCCAAGAGCCUGGCAUUUUCUACGGAGCUUUCUUAAAUCGGCUAGUUUUAGCCUCAAGCAUCGGUUUGAUACUAGUUCCCAUUCCACAGAUGAGAGCACGGUGCUGGCAGUGUGUAGCGGCCUGCACAAGGCCCCUUAUCAGUGGCGAAAGAGGACUUGGUGCCUGUGGUCCCGCUCUGAAGCUGUCUCUCACAGAGUUCUUCUCUACUCCAUUUCCUGGAUCCGCAAUUUUAAUCUACAGGAAGGCUGAGAAUUUAAAAUUUGACUCAUGUACAGUUUGUAUCUUGGAUCCAGCUAAUCUCAGUGAGCUUCUUUGCUUUCCCUCUUAAGAAAGUCUGGCUUUGUGUGACAGGAAGCCCCAUUUGUUUGUAGAGAUAGCCUUCUCCAGGAAUUCACGCAUUCCCUUAGUCCUGGUGGGUGAGUUCUCUUCCAGGGAAACAUUCAUUUUCACUUCCCCUGGCCACCUACUGAUUCUUGUUAGUGUCUUCCCUAUGAACUGGGGAGGUUUUUCACCCAACUUUUUAUCACCUCAUUCUUGUAUUUCAGUAUUGCUUUGGGAAAUAUGAUUUUAGAAACACCUGGUUCGGGGUUCUUUCAAAGAUGUAGCAUGAGACCUCCCUGCUCCAUUUAUUUAAGGACAGGAUGUAAUUUAAUUUUCUCUAGCUGUGCUUAUUUCUUCACUGCCUUUUGCGAAUUGGGCAAUUUCAUAUUUGGUUCUAUUUUGUCAUCUUACCCCCAGAGUUGAAUAUUUGUAUUUGGUCCAGAAACAUCCAGAGUUUAGUUUUCCUUUUUACUCAGCUGCAUUUUUCUAACCUAUGGUGAGAACUGAACCACGGGGGUAAUAACGGAAGUCCUGUGAGUCUGCUCUUCUGAAGAAAAACAAAACAAUUCACACCUGGCUUACAUUUCAUGAGGAUUCUACAUGCGUUAACAUUUUUCUCUGGAUCUCCUGCAGGCUUUUAAAUGUAUAUAUGUUGACAUUUUUGGAGGGUGAUUAAUAAGCAAGAGUUUCAAUUUUUUCUUCUUUUUGAUUCUAGCUUUGAGGAAGAAAAGCUGGCAUUUUGUCCAGUACACGCUGUAUAGACAACCAUGGCCAACUUGCAAUUCCUUUUUGGACUUAGGUCUUGAAUGACAUUUAGUUUUAAAAAAAUCCUUUUCUCUCCACUGUAGGUCUCUUCUAAUUCUACAGCUAGUUGGCCUCAGAGCCUGUGAAAGCUAUCCUGUGCCACUUCUCUUGAAGGCCUGGUGUUCACAGACGUAUGCAGGAUUCCUAGCUUGCUUCUUUUCCUAAAAAUAGAACCGUGUGACAUUACAAUAAUUUAGAUCACAGUUAAAUGUUAAGUCUGAAAGAAGUCUGGUUUCUCUGCUUCUUCCUUUUUAAAUUACAUUUUGUUUUUUUAAGUAACCCGAAGAGGAUGCAUGUCAGUAUUGCGUUAGUUUCUGAGCUGGGCUUGGUAGAUUUCCAGUUACAGUACUGGACCUUUCUUUCUUAGAUGUUAUAAAGUAGAGGCAUUUUCCUAAGAUCAGGCAAAAUUGUGUUUGGAAGUAAGACUAUGUAGCAAUGAGUAGUAAUGUAGUAAGCAUGGCUGGGUUUCUAAUCAAAGGUAUUUCAGUCCCUGUGUGUAUGAAUCAUUUGUGCGUGUUGGGCCCCAUGCCCUAAUUCUUAGUUUGGAAAAUGUGGUCCCUGAAUUAGUUUUCUAGGUUUGCUAUAACCAAAUACCACACACUGGUGUCAUAGGGAAUUAAAAUUAAUUUUAUAGUUGUGGAUGCCACAAGCCCAAGAUCAAAUGUGUCAGUAAAAAUGAUCUCUUCUAAGCCAGCCCCCCUUGCCUUACAAAUCCCAUCUUCUUCUGUGUCCUUACAUGGGCUUUCACCUGCACACAUACAUGCUUCUUUCUUAACAUUCUCUUCUGGUGAGAACACCAGUUAUAGCAGAUAAGAGUCCAGCCUGAGGCUGAAUUAUAUUGAAUUCCCUCUUUAAAAGCCUGGUGUCCAAAUAUAUAACCUUCAGAGAUUCUGGGGGCUUAAUAAUGUUAACAUGUCAACUGUAGAGGCAUCCAGUUCAGUCCAUAACACUAUACAUAUGCAUAUAGGUAUAUCUCUCUCUUUCUGUGUGUGUGUGUGUGUGUGUGUGUGUGUGUGUGUGUUGACUCCUGGUUGGUCUUUGGGCCUAAAUUUCAGGUCAUCUGGAUGUGUAAACUUUCAAUUGUAACAAAAUAUAUAUAAAGAAAAAUUGGUUUUGACUUACAAUUCUGGAGGCUCCAACCUGUGAUUUGUUAUUUGGCCCACUGGUAAAGUACCACAUCAUUGUGGGACUGUGUGUAGCACAUCAUGAACCAGCAGGCAAAGAUACAAAAUGGAACCAAGGUUCACAGCCCCCUUCACAGUUCUACUCCCAGUGACUUAAGAAACCCUCAGAGGGCUCUGCCUCUCAGAGGUUUCAUCACCUACCUAGGAAGCAGGAAUUUUUAACAAUGGGCCUUUGGGGAUAUUUAAGAUCCAUACUACAGCAAUGGCCCUACUCAGUGUGGCUCAUUAAUAAUAAUUCCUCCUGCAGCAGAUGGGAACAAAUACAGAGGUCCACAACCUGACAUUAUGUAGAGUGUGAGACCUUUGAACACUCAACCCUAAAUGGGAUGUCUCCAUCAAAUCCUUCUUCUCAGAGCUCAGGGAACCCCAUGAAAGAGCAGGCAGAAAGAGUGCAAGAGCCAGAGGGGAUGGAGAACACCAAGAAAACAAUGUCCUCUCAAUCAACUGAGCAAGGCUCACAAGAAUUCAGAGACAGAGGCAGCAUGCACAGGGCCUCCUCGGGUCUGCACCUGGUCCUGGUUUGUGCUUGUAUUAUGGCUUUCAGUUUAAUGUUUUUGUGGGAUUCCCAAUUGUGUGAACAAGUGGGUCUCUGAUUUUUGUGCCUUUUCUUGGGCCCUUUUCUUCUGUUGGUUUGUCUUGCCCAACUUUGAUGUAAUAAAUUUUGUUUUAUCUUAUAUUUUCUUUUGUUAUGUUUUUUAAAAAAAUGAAUGUAUGAAAACCUAGUCACUAGGUUAAAGGUUAACAACUGAACUGUCAUUUAUAUCUGCUGGGAGAGGGAAAAAUCAGCUUUUGCUAAUGGACUGACACUGGGUAUAGUAACCACUCCAAGACAGGCCUCAUAUUCAAGAGUAGUUGAACAAUAUAUAAAAAAAUGGACUCCACAGGUUUUUUUUUGUGUGUGAUUUUAUUUGGAUACAGUUUGUUAAUAUGAGAAAUAUCGCUAGCAAUCCACAGAGUCUGCUUAAAGGGCAAAGGAAUUUAUUAGAGAAAGAAACUCACCAUACAGAACAGAGGAAUUAUUGCAGGAUCCUGAAAGGGUGAGGGAUGGUCCCACACUGUUCUUCUGCCUGAGAUCAUCCCAGCAUCCAAAUCCUACAACAAAGUGAAGAGAGAGCCAAGUACAUGCAUCCCAGGUCUUAAGGGUACCUCGUGGCCAUGCCCCAGGGGCAUGUGCUUCAAGGUCAUAGGCAGGUGUAACAGUUACCUGCUUCCUCACUAGGGGCAGUGCUUCAAGGUCAUAGCUAGAACAGCUACCCACUACAUCUCCCCCUUUUGUAGAAUAAGAAAGUUCUAACCUAACACAAAACUAUAUAUAAUAGGAAUGAUUAUUAAGUGUUGUCCAGGAGAAAUAACGGGUAAUAACCUAAGCAAAAUGGAACUACAACCAUCAAGAACAACAUCAAACAAUAGACACAUACUAAAAUCCAGAGAUGUCCAGAACAUAGGUAAAUGGCAUGUUACAGAGAUUAUUCCAAAAGCUGUCCUAUUCUGAAGAAUCUGAAUCUAGUACUUAAUAUGUUCUAGCUAAGAUACAAGAAGAUUGUCACUGUAACUAUUAGUCUUCAAUCCCAACAAAGACCUGAGAGAACAUAAUAAUACCUGAGAAAAUGGGGAAUGCAUACAAGCAAUUUUUUAAAAUCUUUCGAGAAUAGAGACAGUUGGCGGUCUGGACAGUCACCUAAAGUUUUUCAGCACAGAUGGGGCAUCCAAUUUGGCUACAGGCCUAGAAUAUCUGACAGACCAUUUUCAGAAGCAGGAAUUUUGAAAGACCAAGAAAGGGUAAACCCUGUCUUGGCAGAGUUCAGUGGUUGUUGUUCUUGUGUCCUGCUCAUCCAGAAAGGACAGCAUUCGUACUGUCAGCAACCGAGGCAAGGUUCUUUGCUCAGCAGGCCAUUAUGCACCAAGAAGAAGACAAAUUUCCAAAUGAAGUGUCUAGAAGUCCAACAUUCUCUCAGGAUCAGAUUGGUGCUGCUAGGAGCAAUCAUGUCUCACAUCAACAGAAUUCUAAGUUAUUUUAAUGCUAUGUUCUCUAGGUCUAUGGAGUGUUUGAAGAGUACCUAUCCAUCUGACCUAUGUAUCUAUAAAUGUGGACAACCUAACUAACAUAAAUAUAGAAAUGAUAAGCAUAGGUGACUAUAAUUCUGUAAGUCUUUUCUACCUAAAUAACCUAAGGACUAAGUUGUCACAAAAACAAGGUAAACAGUCUGUAAACAAAUAUAUAGUAAAAGGACAAUGACCUCAAAAUUGUGACAAUGCACAAAAUGUCCUAAACAGAGGUAGAAAAUUUUAGUACAUUAUGCAUUAUGGCAAUGAUCCUAAAUAUGUACCAGUAUACAAAAUAUCUUAAACAGGAGUAAAACAUACAUACAGUAUGACAAAUAUAAUUUUACAUUUGUAUCAAUAUACAAGAUAUUUCAAAUAGGAGUAGAAAUAGAUGUACAAUACAACAAAUAUAGUUUUGUGUUUGUACCAAUAUAUAAGUUACCUUAAAUAAGAAUAUAAAAUAGUUUACAUUUGUAUCAAUAUACAAGAAUCCAUAACCAUGCAAAUUAUCUACAGCUGAUAUUUUGCUAAAUUAGUUUACUACUAUAUAUAAUAAUCUAUUUUAAUAUCCUAUACCUAUUCAUUCCCUUUUUCUUUUCUUAAGGAGAAUAUUGAGUCUAAUUUUUAUUGUUCCACCCCCAACCUUAUAACCAUUAUCCAUAACCCACAGAAAAUGAAACCUUUAGGAAAGUGUUAUUUUCUUAGAAUCACUUCCUGCUGUUUAGGGGAUGACAGUAUCUCUGUGGGGUUCUGUAAGAAAGCUCAGAUAGGUAGGUCUCAAUAGGGCUAGCUGUAUAUUCUACAGCCAGUCUCAGAGUAAUGGGUAAGGUUAUCUGAGAUUCCCAUCUCAGAAGUGUAGUAUGAUGGACCAUCUCAUCUUGGAACUGUCCUGGAGAGUUUUCAGUCCAAAGUUGAUCAUUGAGUAAUGUUCAUGGGUACCAUGGCAUCAUUCUGGAUUGGGCAGAGUCAUUGUUGUGGGGCCCUAUCUUCCUUCUGGAGCCUUUAGAGAUUGCUAUUGGAAAGGCUUGUUUUUUAUUGUAGAAAAACUUGAACAAUUUUAAUAUCAAAAUGGAAAUUUUGGUUUUAUUCUAGAUAGAGAAAGGAUUCUCCAAAAGCAAGGACAAGCAUGGAAAGAUAUAAAAUUUUGAUGACAAUGGUCUCUAGAUUAUUGAUUUUCUUCUGCCCCACACCAGGCGGCUCUUCUAAUAUAAGACAGAAUCUCUUAACUUUUUCUUUUAGCAACAUGCUUGGAUUUAGAGAAGGAGAAAGUCACAUUCCAACUCCAAAGCCAGCUUGAUUUAUAGUGGAAUUGGGACCAUAACUUUUUAGAGUUAAAGAGAUAUAGAUGUUAGGCAGUGAAAUAGUACCCUGUAUUAUGGUACCAAUAGGUUCUUUCCUUCUGCUGUAGACACCUAGGUAUCCAAGGCCUUAUGAUUUAUGGGAGAUUGUAUUUCUAUUAUCCUGUAAAACAAAAUACAGAACCCUGCCCUGACCCUUUGU